GACGUGAACCAUAAGGGGGACAGACACUAAAUAAGCCUGUUAAAUCAGGUGGAAGAGGGAGAGGAGAGACAGGGUGGUGGAAACACUUGACACGCUCCGACUCUGUGCAUUUACUUCUCUCCCCUAAGCACACCGCUGUAGCCAUAGCUGUCGGGGAAAAAAACCAAAGGUUUUCAGGAAGACCCCUUUUUCCUGCUGACUUGACUGAUAGAUGCAAAUAAGGAAGGAAAGGAAGACUGCAGAUGAGUCAAGUGGUGGAUAUCCAAGGGCGAAAAGGGUUAUCCACUGCUGUAUGAAGAGGAAAUCAUCAGAUUCGUGUUCAAGCCUGAUCCCCAAUCUGAAAUAUGAGAGGUGACAUCCACAGCAAGAAAGAUUACAGGAGGAUGUUUCUGGAAAGAAUUGCUGGUGCUGCUGCUGGACCACCAGGUGCUGCAGGGCCUGGGCCUGUCCGCACUGCUGCUGGGGCAGAGGCGCCGACUGCGUUCUCCCCAGGGGGCGGUGGCUGCGCAUGAGCUUGGAGACGGAGGGCGA